rnacentral:rRNA from 1 species
AGCGAACGCUGGCGGCAGGCCUAACACAUGCAAGUCGAACGAAGUCUUCGGACUUAGUGGCGGACGGGUGAGUAACACGUGGGAACGUGCCUUUAGGUUCGGAAUAACUCAGGGAAACUUGUGCUAAUACCGAACGUGCCCUUCGGGGGAAAGAUUUAUCGCCUUUAGAGCGGCCCGCGUCUGAUUAGCUAGUUGGUGAGGUAAAGGCUCACCAAGGCUACGAUCAGUAGCUGGUCUGAGAGGAUGACCAGCCACAUUGGGACUGAGACACGGCCCAAACUCCUACGGGAGGCAGCAGUGGGGAAUCUUGCGCAAUGGGCGAAAGCCUGACGCAGCCAUGCCGCGUGGAUGAUGAAGGUCUUGGGAUUGUAAAAUCCUUUCACCGGUGAAGAUAAUGACUGUAGCCGGAGAAGAAGCCCCGGCUAACUUCGUGCCAGCCGCCGCUGUAACAC